CAAUCGACGGAGGAGCUGUACAUCCCUGGGUCCCAGUCACUGCCGGCUCUAUCUCUCACGUACAGGGUUGCUGGGGUAACGAAGGAUGAGUCACUGCCUCCCAAUAAAAUCUGGCAACUCGGAAAAUCGGAGUGAGUUUGUGUGUUUGCAUCAAGGAUCAGAGGUUGUGGACAUUGCCUGGGACACGGCAACUGAAACAUUCGUUCUGUCUGAGUGGGGGAACAAAGAUAACCAUGGUGUGACUGAUCAUUAAUGCCUGCAGGUACGUGGGACAGAAGAUCGCCGCUCUCUGUGGGAGGAAGAGAAAUGAUGGAGCGGUGCCCACAAAACCUGCAGCUUCAGUCAGUCAGACUAAGUACCCCAACGGCAUCAAUGAUGGGAGAUCUGUAACCAAGCCUGUCCACAACGACACAUCACGUGAUGUGCAGUGUGGGUCCUGCGGGUAGAGGGGGCACUGAGGGCGAGGGGGGUGGGGGCUCCUCAUCUGCCCCUCCCUCAGUGCUGUCCGUCCAACAAUGAACCAACCUUUGUUUUUGGGUCCAGGAACCAUGACGACUUGUUCACAACCUCUCAGCGCAGAACCGAACUUGUCCGAAAAUCUAUUCCCUGCGGCACGGAAACAAAAGCAAAAGCAAGGAGCAGUCCGAAAUUAAACGCUUCAGUGUAUCUGUAACUGACACUAGUAAACUGGUUAUAUUCCGUU